AAAAAACUGGGACAUAACUUGCAGGCUUACUUAAAACCACCGAGGCAACAGCGAAUUCAAAUCAACACGUUCAGUUAUAAAUCUGCUUAAAGAUUGACUCACUGGACGCUUUCCAACAUGGAGAGAAAAGCUUUUAUUAUUUUGUACAUUUUGAUUGCAACUCAGUCCACAAUAACAGACUCAACAUCAUCUACAACAGCCACAACAACUCUUGCUGAAUCUUCCUCCGCAACACCAGCAGCCAACACAAGCUCAAUGUCUCCUUUCACAACCAGUGCUCACACAGCCAGUGUGCUGCUCGAGAUCCGCUGCUCUGAGACGUUUAUACCUGAACUCAAUGAUUAAUCCUCUCAGGCUUUCAAGGACAGGGCUAAGCAUGUUAAGGACAACCUUGAGACAAUCUAUAAAUUGAAGUAUCCUUCCUUCAUAAGAGCUCAUGUUUUAAGAUUCAGGUACAUAUAUAAUAUUUAUAAUAAUAUUUAAAGUGUGUGUGCGUGUGUGUGUGUUUGUUUUCAUGAUUUAUGAGGACACAAAUUUGUAUAAUGACAUGGGUAUUACACUGGUAUUACGACGUAAACAUGUUUUAUGAGGACAUUUCAUGAGUCCUCAUAUUUAAAAUAGCUUUAAUAACAUACUAAACAAUGUUUUAUUAAAAAUGUAAAAAUGCAGACAGUUUUCUGUGAUGGGUAGGUUUAGGGGUAGUGUAGGGGGAGAGAAUGUAUAGUUUGUACAGUAUAAAAACCAUUACGUCUGUGGAAUGACCUCACUAAGAUAGCAAAACAAACCUGUGUGUGUGUGUGUGUGUG